GCUGGGCGCGGUGGCUCACGCCUGUAAUCCCAGCACUUUGGGAGGCCGAGGCGGGUGGAUCACCUGAGGUCAGGAGUUCGAGACCAGCCUGACCAACAUGGAGAAACCCCGUCUCUC
rnacentral:SRP_RNA from 1 species